rnacentral:rRNA from 1 species
AUUGAACGCUGGCGGCAUGCCUUACACAUGCAAGUCGAACGGUAACAGGUCUUCGGAUGCUGACGAGUGGCGAACGAGUGAGUAAUACAUCGGAACGUGCCUAGUAGUGGGGGAUAACAACUCGAAAGAGUGGCUAAUACCGCAUGAGAUCUACGGAUGAAAGCAGGGGAUCGCAAGACCUUGUGCUACUAGAGCGGCCGAUGGCAGAUUAGGUAGUUGGUGGGAUAAAAGCUUACCAAGCCGACGAUCUGUAGCUGGUCUGAGAGGACGAUCAGCCACACUGGGACUGAGACACGGCCCAGACUCCUACGGGAGGCAGCAGUGGGGAAUUUUGGACAAUGGGCGAAAGCCUGAUCCAGCAAUGCCGCGUGCAGGAUGAAGGCCUUCGGGUUGUAAACUGCUUUUGUACGGAACGAAAAGCCCCGGGUUAAUACCCUGGGGUCAUGACGGUACCGUAAGAAUAAGCACCGGCUAACUACGUGCCAGCCGCCGCUGUAA